AUUGAACGCUGGCGGCAUGCCUUACACAUGCAAGUCGAACGGUAACAGGUCUUCGGAUGCUGACGAGUGGCGAACGGGUGAGUAAUACAUCGGAACGUGCCUAGUAGUGGGGGAUAACUACUCGAAAGAGUAGCUAAUACCGCAUGAGAUCUACGGAUGAAAGCAGGGGACCUUCGGGCCUUGUGCUACUAGAGCGGCUGAUGGCAGAUUAGGUAGUUGGUGGGGUAAAGGCUUACCAAGCCUGCGAUCUGUAGCAGGUCUGAGAGGACGACCAGCCACACUGGGACUGAGACACGGCCCAGACUCCUACGGGAGGCAGCAGUGGGGAAUUUUGGACAAUGGGCGAAAGCCUGAUCCAGCAAUGCCGCGUGCAGGAUGAAGGCCCUCGGGUUGUAAACUGCUUUUGUACGGAACGAAAAGCCUGGGGCUAAUAUCCCCGGGUCAUGACGGUACCGUAAGAAUAAGCACCGGCUAACUACGUGCCAGCCGCCGCGGUAA
rnacentral:rRNA from 1 species